rnacentral:rRNA from 1 species
GUGUCAGCAGCCGCGGUAAUACAGAGGUUGCAAGCGUUAUCCGGAUUUAUUGGGCGUAAAGCGUUUCGUAGGCGGAUUUGUAAGUUACUCUUUAAAGACAACGGCUCAACCGUUGGAAGGGGGGUAAUACUGCAAGUCUUUGACUACUGGUGGGGUUUCCGGAACUGAUGGUGUAGUAGUGAAAUACGUUGAUAUCAUCAGGAACUCCAAGGGCGAAGGCAGGAAACUAACCAGUGAGUAACGCUGAGGAACGACAGCUAGGGGAGCGAAAGGGAUUAGAAACCCUUGUAGUCC